rnacentral:rRNA from 1 species
UACGAAGGGUGCAAACGUUGCUCGGAAUUAUUGGGUGUAAAGCGCACGUAGGCGGCAUUGCAAGUCGGAUGUGAAAUCCCUCGGCUUAACCGAGGAAGUGCAUCCGAAACUGCCGUGCUUGAGUACGAAAGAGGAUCGCGGAAUUCCCGGUGUAGAGGUGAAAUUCGUAGAUAUCGGGAGGAACACCAGUGGCGAAGGCGGCGAUCUGGGUCGAUACUGACGCUGAGGUGCGAAAGCGUGGGGAGCAAACAGG